rnacentral:rRNA from 1 species
ACUGGGCGUAAAGGGCACGCAGGCGGUGACUUAAGUGAGGUGUGAAAGCCCCGGGCUUAACCUGGGAAUUGCAUUUCAUACUGGGUCGCUAGAGUACUUUAGGGAGGGGUAGAAUUCCACGUGUAGCGGUGAAAUGCGUAGAGAUGUGGAGGAAUACCGAAGGCGAAGGCAGCCCCUUGGGAAUGUACUGACGCUCAUGUGCGAAAGCGUGGGGAGCAAACAGGAUUAGAUACCCUGGUAGUCCACGCUGUAAACGAUGUCGAUUUGGGGGUUGAACUUUGUGUUUGGCGCCCGUAGCUAACGUGAUAAAUCGACCGCCUGGGGAGUACGGCCGCAAGGUUAAAACUCAAAUGAAUUGACGGGGGCCCGCACAAGCGGUGGAGCAUGUGGUUUAAUUCGAUGCAACGCGAAGAACCUUACCUACUCUUGACAUCCAGAGAACUUUCCAGAGAUGGAUUGGUGCCUUCGGGAACUCUGAGACAGGUGCUGCAUGGCUGUCGUCAGCUCGUGUCGUGAGAAG